AUUGAACGCUGGCGGCAGGCUUAACACAUGCAAGUCGAGCGGAGAUGAGGUGCUUGCACCUUAUCUUAGCGGCGGACGGGUGAGUAAUGCUUAGGAAUCUGCCUAUUAGUGGGGGACAACAUUCCGAAAGGAAUGCUAAUACCGCAUACGUCCUACGGGAGAAAGCAGGGGAUCUUCGGACCUUGCGCUAAUAGAUGAGCCUAAGUCGGAUUAGCUAGUUGGUGGGGUAAAGGCCUACCAAGGCGACGAUCUGUAGCGGGUCUGAGAGGAUGAUCCGCCACACCGGGACUGAGACACGGCCCAGACUCCUACGGGAGGCAGCAGUGGGGAAUAUUGGACAAUGGGGGGAACCCUGAUCCAGCCAUGCCGCGUGUGCGAAGAAGGCCUUAUGGUUGUAAAGCACUUUAAGCGAGGAGGAGGCUACUGAGACUAAUACUCUUGGAUAGUGGACGUUACUCGCAGAAUAAGCACCGGCUAACUCUGUGCCAGCCGCCGCAGUAACAC
rnacentral:rRNA from 1 species